rnacentral:ncRNA from 1 species
AUGGGAGAAAAUUAGAAACUCUUAGCAGGACUUUAGUAACCAGUGAUGAGCAGCCAUGGAGGGCUGCUCAAGCCUUAUUGUGCCAUGGAUGGCACAUAUAAGGUGGUCACGUCACUUGUCAUUAAAUAAAACAAGUCAUGCUUAGAGUUUCUUAUUUUCGUAC